CGGGAUAACUGCCGGAAACGGCAGCUAAUACCGGAUACUAUCCCCCUUCCGCAUGGGAGGAGGAUGAAAGCUUUCGCGGUGCGAGAUGGGGUCGCGGCCCAUCAGGUAGUAGGUGGGGCAGCAGCCCACCUAGCCUACGACGGGUAGCCGGACUGAGAGGUCGAUCGGCCACAUUGGGACUGAGAUACGGCCCAGACUCCUACGGGAGGCAGCAGUGGGGAAUAUUGCGCAAUGGGGGAAACCCUGACGCAGCAACGCCGCGUGCGGGAUGAAGGCCUUCGGGUUGUAAACCGCUUUCAGCAGGGAAGACGCAGACGGUACCUGCAGAAGAAGCCCCGGCUAACUACGUGCCAGCAGCCGCGGUAAUACGUAGGGGGCGAGCGUUAUCCGGAUUCAUUGGGCGUAAAGCGCGCGCAGGCGGACCGUUAAGCGGGACCUCUAAUCCUGGGGCUCAACCUCAGGCCGGGUCCCGAACUGGCGGUCUCGAGUGCGGUAGGGGAGGUCGGAAUUCCCGGUGUAGCGGUGGAAUGCGCAGAUAUCGGGAAGAACACCGAUGGCGAAGGCAGACCUCUGGGCCGACACUGACGCUGAGGCGCGAAAGCUAGGGGAGCGAACAGGAUUAGAUACCCUGGUAGUCCUAGCCGUAAACGAUGGA
rnacentral:rRNA from 1 species